GAUCAACGCUGGCGGCGCACAUAAGACAUGCAAGUUGAACGGACUUAAUCGAAAUAUUUAUAUUUUGAAGCGGUUAGUGGCGGACUGGUGAGUAACGCGUAAGGAACCUGCCUAUUAGAGGGGAAUAACAGUGAGAAAUCAUUGCUAAUACCGCAUAUGCCAUAGAUAUCACAUGAUAACAGUGGGAAAGGAGCAAUCCGCUAAUAGAUGGCCUUGCGUCUGAUUAGAUAGUUGGUGGGGUAACGGCCUACCAAGUCGACGAUCAGUAGCCGGACUGAGAGGUUGAACGGCCACAUUGGGACUGAGAUACGGCCCAGACUCCUACGGGAGGCAGCAGUCGGGAAUAUUGCGCAAUGGAGGAAACUCUGACGCAGUGACGCCGCGUAUAGGAAGAAGGUUUUCGGAUUGUAAACUAUUGUCGUUAGGGAAGAGAAAGGACAGUACCUAAGGAGGAAGCUCCGGCUAACUACGCG
rnacentral:rRNA from 1 species